GACGAACGCUGGCGGCGUGCUUAACACAUGCAAGUCGAACGGAAAGGCCCUGCUUUUGUGGGGUGCUCGAGUGGCGAACGGGUGAGUAACACGUGAGUAACCUGCCCUUGACUUUGGGAUAACUUCAGGAAACUGGGGCUAAUACCGGAUAGGAGCUCCUGCUGCAUGGUGGGGGUUGGAAAGUUUCGGCGGUUGGGGAUGGACUCGCGGCUUAUCAGCUUGUUGGUGGGGUAGUGGCUUACCAAGGCUUUGACGGGUAGCCGGCCUGAGAGGGUGACCGGCCACAUUGGGACUGGGAUACGGCCCAGACUCCUACGGGAGGCAGCAGUGGGGAAUAUUGCACAAGGGGCGGAAGCCUGAUGCAGAAACGCCGCGUGCGGGAUGACGGCCUUCGGGUUGUAAACCGCUUUCGCCUGUGACGAAGCGUGGGUGACGGUAAUGGGUAAAGAAGCACCGGCUAACUACGU
rnacentral:rRNA from 1 species